GCUGGUAUGCAGCCAGUGUAUUCAAAUGCACAGUGACUGAACAGCACAUCUGAGUGGAAAGGCCUGGACACCUACCGAAGUGGCCCUGGACCAUACGCCCUUCCCCAAAAUGUGACCAACUUAUCUGGAGUUCAUGCUGCAGGAGGAGUUUGCAUCUGUCAGCAUACGGGAUUGGGUCAGACUUCACGAGGGAAUCAACAAGAUUUGGUGUUAGGUUCCACCUGGCUGAACCAGAUAUGACUUUAUGCAAACACAUGUAACUCCACUGCUGUGCCUUCCCCCCUCACCCUGCACAUUUCUGGACUCAUUUCAAACCCAGCCGUAUUUGAGGCAAAUUUUUUUGUCACCUAUAGACUGCCUGGACUACCUUUACCUAAAUGGACUAGAUUGGUGAAUGGAUUUCUACCUCCUCCCCAUACCGUUCACUGUUCCAGGUGGCUCAUUACGCUGCUGAGUGGUUACAGAGUGGCAAACUUACAGGAAUGGCAGUGGAAGGUUAGUAUUUUUAAGAAGCAGGAGUGGCCUAGCAAAAAUCUGCCUUUUCGCUUUCAAGGCAUUUUUGCUGUUUGUAUUUCCCGAUCACCAUCUGGAACUCCAUGUUAGAGGAAGGUGGGGAACCAUGUCCCUGGGAUACAAUCUCCUGUUAGUAGAUACAUGCUUCUAGCCAGGACUUCUAAUAACUUUUGCAUUGGUUCAUAGAAUGGAAAUCCAUCCCAUUACUGUAUUAAAUGGAGUCAGAAACUUACCAGGCUCUGGAAUGGCUUCUGACCCGUGUCGGCUGCAGGCUCCAAGUCAGGCUGUUCUUUGGAGGGGAGGCAUCGAACAGCUCCUCCGAAUAUGGCCCUAGGAUGUGCUGCUGCUCCUGUGGCAAAACCUCCCACAGGACUCUCUUCAGCAACAGAGUCACUUUGCUGGCCUCACUCUGGAUUCUGAGGCCAGCAGGGUGCCAUCCCAGCUGACCAGUUCAUCCUGCACCAUUGGCUGUUCCCAGCCUGGUGAAAUGCCUCAUAAAAUGGGCACAAUAGUGGUGAGUUGCCAACUGUGUGGUUCUGAUCCCUGGUUUUCCUGUCCUCACUCUUGAGCUGUUUAAGCCACUCCCUACGCUGGUUACAAGUCUGAUAUAUUUGCAAUGCUGCCAGCUUCUUCACUAUUUGCUGGUAAUGCUUGAUCAUUCCAGUAUGCUUACUGUGGUUCUGCUGGCUUUGCACCAGAGAUUAAUCAAAAUCUGGCUGCGUUUCCAUGACUAUGAAGCAACGGGCUUUGCAAAAAAGGCUGGUCAGUCUCUAGUGCAAAUGCUGAAAACUUUCUGAUGGUGCAUUUGCAGGUCUCUAGUCAGAAGCCAAUGGAAGGGUUAAUGCUGGCUCACUGAGCUGCUGCAGUACACCAAGAGACGUCGAUUCCAUUGGAGUCAAUUGAGGAUUCUUGGGAUAGAGAGGACUAAGGAAGGUGGCCCCAUGGGAUUGUGGGAUACUUUUGGCCAGUUGCCAGGACACGAGUCAAGCAGGACUAUGUUGACAUUGCAACUCAAUAGGUCUUGAACCCUGGUUCCUGGCUUGGCCCCUCCAGACCCACAGGGUCCUAGGUCAAGGCUGAGAGAUUUGUAUGUAGAUUGAAAGGGGAGGUUUAAACUGAAGCUUGAGUCCAGGUUUACAAUGCUCUGUAACCAUCUCCUUAGAAGCUCAUGGUUUGCUAGAGAUGCUUCAAAUGAUGAGUGUAUGGAUAACUGCAUGCACUAUUCCUUAUAAAAGAAAGCACAUGUGUGGUUCAUAAUGGUUCUUUGAAAACUAAAAUGCUUCAGUUUAUAGCUCAAGUUACUUUGCCUUUGUUUCUUGUCAACUGAUUUCAUCCUGUUAUACUACUAACCUUUGUAACUCUGUACUGAAAUAAGGAGUCUAUGUUGUUGUUGCUUGUUUCUCUCCCAUAGGCCUUGAUACAAUUUCCAUUCAGCAGUUGAAGAAGAAACUGUCUCAAUCUUUGACCGAAGACUCAGGUUUCCACUAUAGUUGGUAGCAAGGCUUCCUUUUCCUGACCUCAGGAGAUCAACCAACAGCUCAGGCAGCAGGUUCUCCAGACAGUCACCUAAUUCCCUGAAGAGAUCUGCACCUCUCCCAUGUUCUUGCUUUGAAGUGUAAAAUAAUGUAUCCCUUUGUUCUACAAUAGAUUCCAACCCUGCAUAAUUCAAGACCUCUUCAUGCCAUUUGAACUUAUGUUAAAAAUCACACUGAAAUCUUCUCAUUUGGCCUGCUAACUAAAGAAUUCCCCUUUUUACUAACCUGACCCCACUGACUCUUGAUCAGUUUCACUAUGUAAAAUACAUGGGAAAAAAUGAAAUUAAAUCAGGUUAUCUUUAUUCUGGUAGUUGUGACACUUCACUUGGCUUUGAAGUCUUAAGUAUCCUGUGAACAAUGGGUUAGUGACAUCAGCACUGCAGUACUAAUAUUCCAUUCCCAUUAUCACAAAUUAUGAAUGUUAGAUACACAAAUUGAGUAUGGUGACUGCCUGGCUUUGAAAAGCAAUGGAUGGCUUACAGAUUUUAAUAUACUGAACGCUACUGAAGGUGUGGGAUUCCAAAACGAAUGGCGAGUCAACCUAUUCCAUCAUAAUAAAAUGUAAAAUAAUUUUGUGAUAGGCCAUUUGAUUUUCAAGGAGGGAAAACAAGGAUAAAAAGGCUGAAGUUCUCAUGGUAUUUUAUUUACAGGCUACUCGAUACAUCUUAUAUACAAAUGGCUUAAAGAAAUAUCAACAAUAAGUAAGCUGAAGUAACAGUUUCAGUAUUUUAAAUUUUGUUGCCCUAAAAUAAUUCUUAUGAUAAGAAUACUUAACCUUGUUCAGUGAAAAUUAGUUUGAAUUUAAGUCCAGCACUUAAUUUUUAAAUAUGAAACAGUUUAGAUCUGAAUCAGUUUUCUGGCAAUUUUUUUUAUUUAAUGGCAUACUUAUCUGCAGAGAACACAUUAAUACUGCCUCAAACAAUUUUAAGCAUUAAUCAAGAUUUUUCCACCGACAUAAUUCAAUUCUGAGACUUUUCAUCCUUUGGAAGGGAUUUAUUUUUCUCUUCAAUCUAAAACAAAAAUUCAAAAAGUUUGGCUGAAAUUUAUUUCCUCUACUGGUAAUGAAACAUGGGGCCAGAUCUUGUAGUUUGGGACCUAAUGGAGUUUUAGUCUGAAUAACAAUUGCAUGAAAGUUACCCGUGCUAGUUUUAAAAUUAGUUUUACAGCUUAUUUAUAAAUCUCAGCAACAGAUGGGCCUUUAAUAACUUUCUUCAGACUGGCACUAACUCCUGAUAUAAAUAUAACAGGAAAAGCAAACUCAAAGCAUCAAUAGUUUACAUUAAAACUCCUUCCUCCUCUGUUUUUCGUUAAGCAUCUGAUGCUUAGGAUGAUAAAAGGUAAUAGUAAUUAAAUAUGUAUUGAAUAGGUAUGAAAAAUAUAAAUAUGCAAUUUUUAAAAUGUAUAAGUUUAAUUUUCUAGCAAUUACAUUUGCAUUUAAAGAUCAGAUUUAGUUACUUGAUGGGGGGAAAUGUUGUAGUUUUUUUUCUUUUUCUCCUGUUUCUUCUACUCCGGAUUACUUUAUCCUAGGAUCAUGAAUUUAUUUUGAUGUCAGUGUCUCUCUCUCCUUUUCAUUUGGCUGAAGUUAUGUAAUAUCGUAUUAGUGCAAAUUGUUAUGCCUGUCAUACUAGCACUAGUGUUUUAAAUUUUUUUACUCCAGGUAAUGUUGGAGACCACUUCAUUUAAAAUUAACUAUUCAACCCGUGGAGUAGGUCCAGGAUCAAAUACUUUAAUCUGGAUGGUAGAGAAAAACACUUUUUGAUGUUGGGUCCAAUUCUCUGUAGUACUUCUAGGAGGUGCAGCACAGAAGUAAUCAAGGGGAUAGGGGGCAAAGUAACUUUAAGCCAUUUUUGCACUGCCCAUAUUCUGGGCACAUCAUAAAGCAGCCACGGGGGUUGCUCUCAUUUUUUGUAGCCUUCUGAGGGCUGAGUCAUAGCCUGGGAUUGCUAGAGAACUGUACACUAUGGACACAUGACCUCCUUAUCUGGGCUGCUUGUAAGGGGAGCGGCAUAGGGCUCAUAACCUAAAAUUGUUCUGAUCCUUGCAGGGUAGCAAAAUGUCAUACAAGGGGUGGAAGUGGGAGAAAUCUAUUGCCUGGGUUUUAAAAAAGGCAAGAUUAUUGUGGCUGCGUAAUUCAGCCUGACUUUCUGAAUUAUUUGAACAGUGUGGACCAUUGGUUUUCAAAUGUUAGGCCAGUAUUGCUUGAACUAAAAUUAGUAGAAAAUCACUGUGCAAUACAUAUACCAGCAAUGGCAUGUGAAUGGACUUGCUAAAUCUUAAUGCAUUUGUUGUCAUUUGGAAAUCAGCUUUGUGUCCUUUUCUAAUUGCUCUUUUAUUCUUAUUCAGUCAAGAUCAAAGUCUAAAAUUAGUCAGAUGUUUUGAUAUCAACCAAUACAUUAACAUGCCAAAGUUUCUAACUACAUGGAACACCUUAAUUGUCUCAGUAUUUCAGUUCAUAAAUCAAACUGCUCUAUUACUAUUUAUGUGGACAAGAGAGGCUGGCUUUUUACAGAAACUUUAGUGAAAUAAGUAUAUUAUCUGACUUGAAAGUUUAUCUCUAUGCAGGAAGCUGUAAGAGGUAUGAUUUCUUCCUCACAUUUUAUUUUUGAAAGUCAAAAUCACUUAUUCCUGAUUUGUUCGUUAUCAUCUACUUUUCAUUUGGACUUACCUGCUUCUUAGGGAAGUUUCACAAGGCUAUUUUUUUUUUUUUUUGAAGUGCAGUACACAUUAAUAUUUGACCAUGCAUUUCUUGCCACAAAGGUUGUAUAUGGAUUUGAAAGUCUUUUGCCAGAUUUUACACCUAACUUUUGCUAGAUUUUUAUUGUCGAGCCUGGCUUUUGUUUUAUCUGAGCAUACUUUUAUAAAAAUGGUAAGACGCUAUAGCUGAACACGACAAUACUAACACUAUUUUGCUUGCAUUUAUUCUCUCCUGCAAAAAAUACUAAGAUGUGUUUAACUCAAGAAAAACUAUUCAAACACAGUGUCAUUUUAUAUAAAGUGUUUAAUUUCUUUUAAACACAGGCUAUUCAGGUCACAAAUAUUUGUUUCCAGCUUAGCUGCUUUUAUUUUCAGACAGCAGGAUUCUCUAGUGUGGCUGAUGAGAACUUGGAUAACUAUGAGAUUUAGAGGGAAGUCUAAAGAGAUAAGACUCACCAUGAUGCAACUGCAGAUACUUGAACACUAUUUAGCUACAUUUUAAUGUUCUUCACACCGUAUGCUGCAAUAAUUAGUCAUAAAUUAGAAUUUUAAAUGAAAUAGACAACUUUGGCUUCUAAUCUGAAAAUCCAAGACGUCACUGACAUGACUCUACUGGUAAUAAUGUAAGUAGAAAUUUGACCUUUUUAAAAGUAAUUAAACAGUCUUACAUAAUGUAUCAAUUUAUCAACUGGAUAAUCAGUUGGAAAAUUGUAUCCAAUAUGGGCUAUUAAACAUUCUUUUCAGUACGUGGAAAAUAUAGCCAUAUCCCCUCUCUGCAGGAGAGAGAGAGAGACUGCUGUUCUCAGAGGAAAACAUGCUGGAAAGUAUAACUAAUAUAAAACUGGAGUGGUGGUUUCUGGUAGCAAUUUUAGCUACAGUAAUUUUUUUUGUUGUUCAAAUCAAGUAUUACAAUGAUCAAUGGAAUAGCUGAAUAUAGAAAGGAUUAAUUGGCACAAUCCCAGUUUCCAGAAAAUUUGAACUGCUAAAUGUUCUAUGUUGCAUUAAAUACUGGUCUUUAACCUUGGAGGCUUUCCAUAAUGCUUUUAUAUGUGGUAAAGAGGAGACAGUGUCAGCUUUCCACACAAAACUCAUUAACUAUUACCAAUGACACUGAGGAAAAAGAUUUCUCUCAUUGUCUUCUUUACAGUCUAUUUUACCAUCCAUAGCUCAGUAUAAAGUAGAUCUUAUUUGGCAGAGGGACUACAGAAGUUAAUACAGCUUUUAGAGAAAAGCUGAGGGAAACCUACCUUUCUUUAAUGUCUUCACAUUGACAUUCUCUCAGUAAAUUCAGUUUGGGGAAGGUCAUUUCAAUGAAGAGAAAACUUAGUAUACCUACUAAAUUGGCUUAGCUGACAUAAAUGGCAAAUAUGCCACUUUAAAAUGCACUCUAUCCAAGUUGCCUAUAAUUAUCUCUGUUUUAAUGUAGUGUAUCUAUAUUUAAGUAUUAAUCUUUGAAUCAAGCUACAAAAUAACCUUAAAGAAAGGGAAUUUCCUUUAUAAGAAAAAUGUGAGAAUUUUCGCAGACCUUAAACUUACACGUUAAGGCACUUACCAUUCAAGUAAAACAGUUUUGAUACAAACAUGUCUGGGAGAUGGGGAAACAUUUUACUACACCAUCCUUUUUUUUAAAGAAAAAAAUAACAUUGACCAAAUAUUUAUAAAAUUGUUGCAUCAAGAGAAAGGUUGUGUUUUAUUAUCUGAAAUGAGCACAAAGUACACCUUCCACAAUAACACUGAAAGCAGUGCAAAGACUGACAGUGACCUUUGACUAAAGGUAGUUUUGUAAAAAGAAAAAUACCAAAUAAAUCAGUGCCCUGCUUUGAUUGUUGUAAAAUUUUUUACAUAAAAGUUGGUCCAAACUUACAAAAAAAGCACAAAUGUGCAUAGUUCAGAAGAUCUGAAAGAGUGCCAUAAAAAGCUGAUGUCCCUAAAUUUAGCAUCCACUUAAAACUGCCAAAAUACAAAAUAAAAUUCAUAACUAGAAUUUGUGAACAUGUACACUCAAUUGAUCUAGUUUUCAGACAGCAUGAGUUUUAAGCAGUUUAAAUUUUCCUACUGUAUGCAAGACCCUUUUCCACAUAAAAAUAAAGCUGUUGAAUUAACAUUA